AACGUAGGUUCCGAGCGUUAUCCGGAUUUACUGGGCGUAAAGCGCGUUCAGGCGGUUUGGCAAGUCGGGCAUGAAAUCUCUCGGCUCAACCGGGAGAGGUUGUCCGAUACUUCCAGACUUGAGGGCAGUAGAGGGUGGUGGAAUUCCGCGUGUAGCAGUGAAAUGCGUAGAUAUGCGGAGGAACACCGAUGGCGAAGGGCAAUCCCCCUGGGCCUGUACUGACGCUCAUGCACGAAAGCGUGGGGGAGCAAA
rnacentral:rRNA from 1 species